CCAGACUCCUACGGGAGGCAGCAGUGAGGAAUAUUGGUCAAUGGUCGGGAGACUGAACCAGCCAAGCCGCGUGAGGGAUGAAGGUACAGAGUAUCGUAAACCUCUUUUGUCAGGGAACAAAGGCGGGGACGCGUCCCCGGAUGAGUGUACCUGAAGAAAAAGCAUCGGCUAACUCCGUGCCAGCAGCCGCGGUAAUACGGAAGGUCCGGGCGUUAUCCGGAUUUAUUGGGUUUAAAGGGAGCGUAGGCCGGCUUUUAAGUCAGCUGUGAAAGUCCGCGGCUCAACCGUGGAAUUGCAGUUGAAACUGGAGGCCUUGAGUGCACACAGGGAUGCCGGAAUUCAUGGUGUAGCGGUGAAAUGCUUAGAUAUCACGCAGAACUCCGAUUGCGAAGGCAGCGUACCGGCGCCCAACUGACGCUCAUGCACGAAAGCGUGGGUAUCGAACAGGAUUAGAUACCCCCGUAGA
rnacentral:rRNA from 1 species